AUACGAAGGGCCCGAGCGUUAAUCGGAAUCACUGGGCUUAAAGCGUACGUAGGCGGACUCGCAGGCACCUUGUGAAAUCCCUCGGCUCAACCGAGGAACUGCUUGGUGAACCGCGCGUCUUGAGGCAAGUAGGGGCUGUCGGAACGAUAGGUGGAGCGGUGAAAUGCGUUGAUAUCUAUCGGAACGCCGAAGGCGAAGGCAGACAGCUGGGCUUGUUCUGACGCUGAGGUACGAAAGCGUGGGGAGCGAACGGGAUUAGAAACCCCAGUAGUCC
rnacentral:rRNA from 1 species